CGUGAUCACUCCUACGGGGAGGCAGCAGUAGGGAAUCUUCCACAAUGGGCGCAAGCCUGAUGGAGCAACACCGCGUGAGUGAAGAAGGGUUUCGGCUCGUAAAGCUCUGUUGUUAAAGAAGAACACGUAUGAGAGUAACUGUUCAUACGUUGACGGUAUUUAACCAGAAAGUCACGGCUAACUACGUGCCAGCAGCCGCGGUAAUACGUAGGUGGCAAGCGUUAUCCGGAUUUAUUGGGCGUAAAGAGAGUGCAGGCGGUUUUCUAAGUCUGAUGUGAAAGCCUUCGGCUUAACCGGAGAAGUGCAUCGGAAACUGGAUAACUUGAGUGCAGAAGAGGGUAGUGGAACUCCAUGUGUAGCGGUGGAAUGCGUAGAUAUAUGGAAGAACACCAGUGGCGAAGGCGGCUACCUGGUCUGCAACUGACGCUGAGACUCGAAAGCAUGGGUAGCGAACAGGAUUAGAUACCCUGGUAG
rnacentral:rRNA from 1 species